UAAUACGUAGGUCACAAACGUUGUCCGGAAUUAUUGGGCGUAAAGGGUCCGUAGGCGGUUCGGUAAGUCUCCUGUGAAAUCUUCAGGCUCAACUUGAAGAGGUCGGGGGAUACUGCUGAACUUGAGACUGAUAGAGGCAAGUGGAAUUCCCGGUGUAGUGGUGAAAUGCGUAGAUAUCGGGAGGAACACCAAUGGCGAAAGCGGCUUGCUGGGUCAGUUCUGACGCUGAGGGACGAAAGCGUGGGUAGCAAACCGGAUUAGAUACCCGGGUAGUCCACGCCGUAAACGAUGAAUGCUAGGUUUUCGGGGUAUCGACCCCCUGGGAGCCGCAGUUAACGCGAUAAGCAUUCCGCCUGGGGACUACGGUCGCAAGACUA
rnacentral:rRNA from 1 species